UAGCGCAUGCGCUAGAUUCCAAUUGUCAAGUUACUUACAUGUAUCUGUCAUUUCUCGCUGCAUCGUUUCUCGUUUGAUCACAGAAGAGACAAGUGAGAGUGAGUGAGCUCGCAGAGUGAAUGCUCAAUGGCAGAAUCGACGUCGGAAUCUCGUCGGACGAGCUAGCUUGCGUCGACGAACGACGCGUCGUCUGAUACAGAAAGGUGUGUUGGUUUGAUUAUUGAAACCUGCUCAUCAUCUCUGCUUGUUUCAAGUGUGACAGCGUUGAGAGCAAAUACUUCACAUUGAAUUCUUCAGCGUUCACUCUCUGUCAUAGAGUGCCGGCUCGUCAGCAGAGAACAUGUCCAAUGAACACGUGACUAUCUGAUGAAUGGAAGAUGGGUGAGGAGAAGCAAGGAGACGGAUGUCUACAGCAUGGGAGUCACCCUGGUGGAGCUGAAUGUUUACUGUUCGAUCAUCUGCUAGGAUCCUCGUCAGAGAGAUGACCGAGUGCAUCAACUAUGACAGCAGAGACUGGUCACACUGGCAUGUGAUCAUAACUGAUUGCUGUGAUGUCGACUAAGGGAAAGAAACUGGCAACUUUGGGAUGACGAUUUUCCUGUACAACAAGAGGAAAAAUGAAAGCUGGACAUUUGUGAGUGUGUGAGA